GAAAUUUGAAAAAGCGGUCUUACACUAAACAAUACAGCAAUGAAUAAAGCUACAUGUUACAAUAUAGUUACUAACGAAAUUCCAUGGUUAAACGUAUCAGUGAAAUAACAAAAAGAUACAUUACGUAACGUAAAAUGAAAAUCAUUUCAGUAAAAAGCACCCAACUCUGUUAUAUCGAUAUAUUAAACAACAAAAUGUCACAUCAAUCAAAACUAAAUACUGUAGAUUUAUCAACCACGAAAUCUAAUAUCCACGAACAUAAGUAGCCAAUGAAAAUAAAUGAAAUUACAGUAAUACAACCGCGUCAAAGAAUAGUCCAGUCAAACUAAGAUUUAACCUCAAACUAAUUGCAACAGAAAAUGUUUUAGUUCUAAUCUAUAGCAUUAUGCCCUUUAUAUACACAGCAAAAAGUCCCAUUAAAUCUAACUUGAGGAAAACUCAAAGUCAGCAUUUUUAAUUUCCUAUGGAAAUUCACAUUGGAAGGGGAGAUAGUUCUUGCAAAAAAUUAGUCUUUUGUGGUCAGUUUUUGGUUUUUUUUUCUCGAAAUUUAUGUAAUGUAUGAUACUUUGAUGGGGUAAAAAAUUUGUAUUUGACUAAAUAAUAUAAUCUUCUACUCAUGAAAUGUACAAAACCGA
rnacentral:lncRNA from 1 species